GACGUAGGAUGCAAGCGUUGUCCGGAUUUAUUGGGCGUAAAGAGUUCGUAGGUGGUUUGUUAAGUCUGAUGUUAAAGACUGGGGCUCAACCUCGGGAGUGCAUUGGAUACUGGCAGACUGGAGUGUAGUAGAGGCAAGCGGAAUUCCCAGUGUAGCGGUGAAAUGCGUAGAUAUUGGGAGGAACACCAGUGGCGAAGGCGGCUCACUGGACCGGAACUGACGCUGAGGCGCGAAAGCGUGGGGAGCAAACGGG
rnacentral:rRNA from 1 species